GUGUCAGCAGCCGCGGUAAUACGAAGGGGGCUAGCGUUGCUCGGAAUUACUGGGCGUAAAGGGCGCGUAGGCGGAUAUCUAAGUUGGGGGUGAAAUCCCGGGGCUCAACCUCGGAAUUGCCUUCAAAACUGGAUAUCUUGAGUUCGGGAGAGGUGAGUGGAACUCCGAGUGUAGAGGUGAAAUUCGUAGAUAUUCGGAAGAACACCAGUGGCGAAGGCGACUCACUGGCCCGAUACUGACGCUGAGGCGCGAAAGCGUGGGGAGCAAACAGGAUUAGAAACCCUCGUAGUCC
rnacentral:rRNA from 1 species